GUUAAAAAGCUCGUAGUUGGAUUUCUGUCGAGGGCGGGCGGUCCGCACUAUGUGCGUGUAUCUUGUUCGGUCUUGGCAUCCUCUUGGGGAAUGCUUCUGUGCUUGAUUGCAUGGGGUGGAAUUCAAGACUUUUACUUUGAGGAAAUUAGAGUGUUCACGGCAAGCUACCGCUUUGAAUACAUUAGCAUGGAAUAAUAAUAUAGGGCGUAAGUUCUAUUUUGUUGGUUUCUAGGACAUACGCAAUGAUUAAUAGGGGGCAUUCGUAUUAACGCGUCAGAGGUGGAAUUCUUAGAUUGCGUUACGACGAACUACUGCGAAAGCAUUUGCCAAAGAUGUUUUCAUUGAUCAAGAACGAAAGUAUGGGGAUCGAAGACGAUUAGAUACCGUCGUAGUCUAUACCAUAAACUAUGCCAAUUAGAGAUUGGGCGUCGUUCGUUUUAUGACUCGCUCAGCACCUUAUGAGAAAUCAAAAUUUUUGGGUUCCGGGGGGAGUAUGGUCGCAAGGCUGAAACUUAAAGGAAUUGACGGAAGGGCACCACCAGGAGUGGAGCCUGCGGCUUAAUUUGACUCAACACGGGAAAACUUACCAGGUCCAGACAUAGUAAGGAUUGACAGAUUGAUAGCUCU
rnacentral:rRNA from 1 species